rnacentral:sRNA from 1 species
AGAAGCAUGCAAUAAUAGCUCAUGAGGUGCCCCAAUGUUCCCUCCGAGUAUCGGGGGCAUAACUGCUAAUGCGGUUAUAAAAUCGAGGAACAAACACCACAUGAGACGCUGCUUCA